GGCCACUGCUAUCGGGGUCCGACUAAGCCAUGCGAGUCACGGGGGUGUCCCUUUGGGGCACCACCGGCGGACGGCUCAGUAACACGUCGGUAACCUACCCUCGGGAGGGGGAUAACCCCGGGAAACUGGGGCUAAUUCCCCAUAGGCCUGAGGUACUGGAAGGUCCUCAGGCCGAAAGGGACUUAUGUCCGCCCGAGGAUGGGCCGGCGGCCGAUUAGGUAGUUGGUGGGGUAAUGGCCCACCAAGCCGAAGAUCGGUACGGGCUGUGAGAGCAGGAGCCCGGAGAUGGACACUGAGACACGGGUCCAGGCCCUACGGGGCGCAGCAGGCGCGAAACCUCCGCAAUGCGGGAAACCGCGACGGGGGGACCCCGAGUGCCGUGGCAACGCCACGGCUUUUCCGGAGUGUAAAAAGCUCCGGGAAUAAGGGCUGGGCAAGGCCGGUGGCAGCCGCCGCGGUAAUACCGGCGGCCCGAGUGGUGGCCGCUAUUAUUGGGCCUAAAGCGUCCGUAGCCGGGCCCGUAAGUCCCUGGCGAAAUCCCACGGCUCAACCGUGGGGCUUGCUGGGGAUACUGCGGGUCUUGGGACCGGGAGAGGCGGGGGGUACCCCUGGGGUAGGGGUGAAAUCCUAUAAUCCCAGGGGGACCGCCAGUGGCGAAGGCGCCCCGCUGGAACGGGUCCGACGGUGAGGGACGAAGGCCAGGGGAGCAAACCGGAUUAGAUACCCGGGUAGUCCUGGCUGUAAAGGAUGCGGGCUAGGUGUCGGGUGAGCCUCGAGCUCGCCCGGUGCCGUAGGGAAGCCGUUAAGCCCGCCGCCUGGGGAGUACGGCCGCAAGGCUGAAACUUAAAGGAAUUGGCGGGGGAGCACUACAAGGGGUGGAGCGUGCGGUUU
rnacentral:rRNA from 1 species